rnacentral:rRNA from 1 species
AUUGAACGCUGGCGGCAGGCCUAACACAUGCAAGUCGAGCGAGCGGCGGACGGGUGAGUAAUGUCUGUGAAACUGCCUGCUGGAGGGGGAUAACUAUUGUAAACGGUAGCUAAUACCGCAUACCCUCAGAUGUGCCCAGAUGGGAUGAGCUAGUGGGUGGGGUAACGGCUCACCUAGGCGACGCUCCCUAGCUGGUCUGAGAGGAUGACCAGCCACACUGGAACUGAGACACGGUCCAGACUCCUACGGGAGGCAGCAGUGGGGAAUAUUGCACAAUGGGCGCAAGCCUGAUGCAGCCAUGCCGCGUGUAUGAAGAAGGCCUUCGGGUUGUAAAGUACUUUCAGCGGGGAGGCGUUACCCGCAGAAGAAGCACCGGCUAACUCCGUGCCAGCAGCCGCGGUAAUAC